rnacentral:lncRNA from 1 species
GUUUUGAUCAAAAUGUAAAGUUUGUUUGAUGUUUUCGCCGCGACGAUUCGAAAUGAAACGAAGAAAUUAGCAGAAGUGAAGGUCACCGGAGAGGUGAAUGAGGAUUUUACCACUGGAACUAGAGAGCUUGGCUCUGACUGGUCUACUACAGCAAGGAAUGUGCCAGGGGCCAAUCUGAUGAACAUGUGGCAGAAGAUUUGGCAAUGGGUGAAGAAACACUGAGAUUGAAAUGCAACCACAGGUGGAGGCUUCACCCAAACUUUUCAGACGGAUGCGAGAUACAAAGUUACCCAAGUAUAAAUGGUUGAAGGUUUUGGAGAGCCAGACAAGAAGGCAGGAAAUGUGAUGUCACUUUUACUUCAAUAAACAUGAACAGCAGCAGGAGCAACAACAGCAUCAGCAGCCGAAACCUCAACUGCAAUAAGAGAUGCAGCAACCGCACCAACAACAUCAAGAGCAACAGCAAAAAUACCUACAUGUAUUACAGCAGAAAUGCAACAAUCACAUUGGCAACAUCAACAGCAGCAGGAGCUCCAACAACCAUGCAGGGAACAUCGCGCGCAACAUGAAUAACUUCAUCAAGAGAUGCAACAACCACAGUGGUAAACAUCAACAGCAGUAGCGACAACGACAGUAGAAACAAAGCCAAUGUCAAGGAUUAAGCAAUCAUACAGGAAACAACACAAGCGGCAACAUCAAUAAAUGCAUCAGGGGAUGCAACAGCCAUACUUGUAAACAGCAGCAGUAGCAGCGAUGACAAGAGCAACCACACAGGCAACACCUUGAGCAACAUCAGUAGCAAUGCACCAGCAAUGAAACAAUCACACCAACAACACCAA